rnacentral:rRNA from 1 species
UACAGAGGUCUCAAGCGUUGUUCGGAUUCAUUGGGCGUAAAGGGCUCGUAGGUGGCCAACUAAGUCAGACGUGAAAUCCCUCAGCUUAACUGGGGAACUGCGUCUGAUACUGGAUGGCUUGAGUUUGGGAGAGGGAUGCGGAAUUCCAGGUGUAGCGGUGAAAUGCGUAGAUAUCUGGAGGAACACCGGUGGCGAAGGCGGCAUCCUGGACCAACACUGACACUGAUGAGCGAAAGCCAGGGGAGCAAACGGG